rnacentral:miRNA from 1 species
AUUCAUGGACGAGAAGCCUUAACC